CAGCUACCCACCUGCCGCAACACGUCCAGAACAAGAGAGACAAGUGCGGGCGCCAGCCAUAAGGCGAGACAGGAGACCACGACAUGACCAGCACCGGGCACUGAUGAUCGGCUCACCGACACACUACACCCUGCGUUAUCACAUGAGCACAGCAGAAACACUCUAACCCAGGAAAGCAGGCAUACCUCUCAGCCCACUGUCUCCAGCAGCCCGACGGAGCAGGACAAGGGGAACGGAGUGACCUACAUGCAGGGACCCAGUGGACACAAAUAGUUUGCAAAUUUGUGACUCUCACAUUUAUAAUGCAUUUUUACUGCUCUAAAACACAUAGUUUGCUAUAUGCUUUGCUUUACUUGUUUUUAUGCUACAUUCUAAUUCUCUUGCAAAUACUAUGUGAA